rnacentral:piRNA from 1 species
UUCUCUUUCUAUUCUCAGACAUGCCUAUCA